rnacentral:lncRNA from 1 species
GAUGUCUAAAACGUUUCCUUAGAGAUGUUGCUACCUUUAACAAAUCACGGAAUUUAACUGGUCCCAGCUACCAUUGGAGGCAGUGUACCCUGGAGGACGUUUGUUUGGCUUGUGCUGGACAGGUAUGGGAAAGCAAAUAAAAACCCCUCAUUUGAGGAUGUGAAUGAAGAAAUGCCUUGUGUCAUGUCAGUGCCAUGGAACCUGGAUAAACUGGGAUGUUGUAAAUGACAUACCUGUAGUAAGUGUACAUUGAACACAGUCAGAUGAAGCUCUGUUUGCUGCCAGCUGCCAUCUUGUGAACAUGGGGAUAAAAAGACCAUAUUGGACUCUCUGCCUUUUUGUGACUGGAUCAUCAUGGUACAUCAGGAGUGCUGGUUUUAUGCUAAUCGCUCCGGCAUCAUCCAGGACAAGAUCAAGACCCUCCAAAAAGACCUUGACCUGUGGUUGGGCCUUGGGAGAUGGCUUCCUUAUCUCCUCCCCCUUGUGGGCCCCUUGCUCUCCAUUGUCCUUGUAAAUUUGUCCAAGAUCGCAUUGCUGCAGUCCAGUUAAUGGUGGUCAACAACAAUAUGCCACUCUUCAAGAACCGAGUUAUGCCGCUCUUUAAGCCCCAGAUUGGGAACCCUGUACAUCCGCCCAUGGCCACUGCCAAGAUAUAGAGGUAUAAUACCUCAUACCCUGAGUUGCUGAGGUGGUAGCCAAUGAUGGGUAAGAUCCCUGGGGCAGCCCUUAAC